ACACACACACACACACACACACACACACACACACACACACACACACACACGCACACGCACACGCGCACGCGCACACACACGCGCACGCGCACACACACACACACACACACACACACACACACACACACACACACACACACACACACACACACACACACGGUGACACAACAACAACACAAAGCCACACGUUAUUCUGUUCUGUCCCCCAGAAUUAUUUUUGCUAUUCCUGAUGUAAGACCCCGAGAUAAAUCCUGAACAAGUAUCAAGUUAUCAAGUUGCACCAACCUUUUGUAAUAAGAGUAUUUUGUCUAAUCCCAAAUUGCAGUCGGUUUUUCUUAAUGCUGAGCUGGUAAAGCCUGGGAUUAGGGAGCAGGAGAGGAGGGGGAAAGGUUCCUUUAGCCGGCAGGAUUGCAGUGGCGGCUCCGCGGAUGUUGUCGGUGCUUAUUAAAACGUCGAUGCAUAAAAUAGGAUAUUGUAAAGAGCCGGGAGAGAGGGACGUGGAGAGGGUUCAUUUGGUACCGUCUGGGGCGCAGGGAAGACGUCCGGCCGCAGACCAGGGCUCCGCACCUGCGAGGGAGGCCGGAGACAUCAAAGUGCUCCAGACACAAUGCUCAGGAGAUAAUCCAUCCUCUGGCCCGAGGACUGUCGUCACCACGAGGCUGGAGAACCCAAGCCCCGGGUUUCAGUGCGCCUUUCAGACCGCUGGUACACACUGUAAUAUAGCUCACAUCUCAUCUGCAACACAGCACUUCCACAGGAGCAUCACACGAGCUGCUCUGACAUGUGACAGAGGUCUCUGACCAGAGCGUCUCGCUUGUUCACCAGUAUCACCAGUUCAUCCAGUAGCAGCUGCUCGCGUCUCUUCUGGGCCUCAGUCUUCUGCCAGUCUGUAGCCAUCAAACAAACAGGGAGGAAAACGGUCAACAGGGGAGGAGCUGUGGACCACCAUGAUGGACUGUGGCUCAUGACUCAUCGUCAAGGACCUGGAAUUACCUUGAAUUGCCUUGAUUGAUCAAUCAAAGUGGAAAACAAGCACCUUUUUCUCCCAGAGUAUGACCUAGGUCAAGGUUUCUUUGGAAACAAAUGUAAUCCCAUAAAACUGUUGAGAAGUACAGAGAUGAUGGAUGUUUAUCUGACUCAAGGUGUCAAGUGAGAGGGAAGUAGACGGCUGCAGGACGCUGCACACAAGCAGCAAAUUGUCUAUACACACUUUAGGACACUGACAUUGGGUAACCAAUCGGGAUCCUCCUGAAGUACAUACAGACACAGACACAGACACUGACACACACACACACACACUCACACAGAUACUCCUUGGGAACUGCGAAUGUGUAUUUGUUCACGCCCUGGUUGGAGACUGAGCAGGAUUUCAAGGUUUCAAGGCUCACAGAGCCCUUUAUCACAGAGGAGCUACCUCUCCGAGCACUACCAACCAGGCUUCCCAAACAAGAGGCAGGUUGUCACCACAGGAGGACAUAAGUGGUCACACGCUUCGGCAGGUGCCCCAAAGAGCUUCAGAUCACUCAAUGCUUGGUCGCCUCCUCAAACGCAGACCGGAGACAGGCCCGGGCCUGGGAACUGGCCCCUGCUUGGGGCAAAGGUCAGCCCCUAAUUAACUGCCUUGAGUGGCCAGGCAUGGCCAGGUAGAGCUCCACUCUGGACAAAUCGGGUUGGGACAAGCUUCCUCUGGAACAGUGAGCUAUGAAAAUGAAAAAAUUUAAACAUGUGUUUCUUGUCUACUCUUGUGUUCUUAUAAUGUAAAUUGUGCCAUCAGAUCUACCAUUAAAGCUGCUGGAGGUAAAAAUUGUGAUUUGAACAGAAAAGAGCAGAAGAAGAGAGCAAGAUUUUGAAACCAAGAUCCCCGAAACCUCUCCUCCCUACGUUGCUUCGCCAUUGAUAAGUGUUGCAUGUCACACACCUGUGAGUCACAGUAUGGACUCACCUUACCCAUCAGGGAGGAGACGCUCUGAUUGGUCAGGAACGGUCUAAAGUUGAAAUAUUCCGCUACAGACGCACAGUCACAGUCACAUCCCAACAUCACAGCACAUCCAACUCACUAACAGCUAAUUGAUGCAGCUUUUCCAACAGAUGACACUUAAACAAUGGCUGCAACACCACAUUUAUAUCAUUAGUGCUCAUAUUAUAAUACCCACUGGUUUCUUCUCAGGGUGUCAUGUAUUUGUUGCUCCGCAGCAAAUUGUUCCAGAGAGCACGCUGGAUGAGACCCCACAUCAGUUAGCGUCAUAUUCAACAUUAAUUUCGAGUUUUGCCGCCAAAUGUCAUAUAUGAAAUUAAAUGUCAACAUGAAACCUUA